UUCAUCUAAUCUAAGUAAGAGAAGUUUAGCUGCUCAUAAUCUCAAGGGACGAAUCAAAAUCAGAGAAGGAAGGUAUUAAUUUUAGGUUUCAAAAAUAAUUAUGAAAAAACUAAUUUCGCCGAUCUUUCCGAGAACUUGAUUCGCCGUCUUGAUUUUUUCGCCAAUUCCGAGCUCUUUGAAGUUGCCUUAAAGUUGCUCUCAAAUUUCUCAAUAUUGCUCUGAAUUUCGUCAGAGGAAGUCUAUCUUUGAAUGAGGAGAGAUGACCUUUAUAUAUAAUUUCUGAGAUCCUUCGAACUGCGUGAAUUGUCAAUAUUUGCGCUAUGCACCUGUCAUGGAUUGCGCUAUGGGCAUAUCACAAUUAUUGACUAAACAUAACACAAAGAUAGACAAGGUUCACAUAAUGGAGUGUCAACUAUUGUGCUACAAACUUGUCAAAGAUUGUGUUAUGGUUAUAGCGAAAUGUUUGACAUUCUAUAGCACAAAGGUUGAGAUCGAUAAGCACUUGUGUUUUCUUCACUCCUCGAACCGUCCUAACUCGUUUAUGCAUGCCCGUAUUAUUCUGAAUAGUGCCCCGACAUCAUUAUGCACCUGGAAUAUUACAAAAACAGAGACACUUGAAUUAGAGGAGUUAGCCAAGGAGAUCUGGUAAGAGACAAAGAGGGAGAAGGCUAUUGCAGCUGCAGAAAAUACGGUUACAUGGUUUUAGAGGUCAGGUCUCCCUCUUUCCAGUAACACUCCUCCUUUUAAACCUUUCAAGCCAAAUGAGGAGAUUAAUUGAUUUGAUGCUCAACCACCAGAGUAGUUGGCUCUUCCCCGAUUGAAAUGUCAUCCUUGACACACGGCUGGAGGCAUUGGGCACAGUUCCAGGCCACUUCUUGCUCUUUGUUGCGACGUUCUUUUGAUCCCUUUCCAGCCGUGUAAGCGCAGUGGUUCAUAAAAGCCUUCUUUGACGUGUAUCCACCCACCCUAACUCUAUAGUGUGUAAGGGACCAACAAAUAUUCCUCGGUCUCCCGAAGUUCAUCAAAGGGGAUGAGGGAUGAAUCCUCAGCAGCUUCCUCUUACUACUGCAUUUAUUAUGGAUCGCUGGUUUAUUACUCUUCACAUUGAUGAUGCUGAGCUGGUUAUUAAGAUGGUUCGAAGGCUCCAGAAGGGAGAAAAAAUAGGCCUCCGCUAUGGAGAAAACAUAAGGCUCCUGGUGAGAGGAUAAGGCAUGGGUCAAAUAGAGAGAAAUCUUGAAAGAGAAUCCAUUUAUACAAGAAAGCUGAAGUCAGCCUUACAAAGAAGUAGUAGAUAAGGGUGAUCCAUUCUUUUAGCCGUGUUUAUGUGGGGCAGUGAAUGUCUGGUUCAUGAGAAGCUCCAAAGAGGCAACAAGAUAACACAUAGUCUAACGAUUGUUAAAAAAAUUUAUAAAAAAAGAAAGGAAAGAGGGAUUUAGCCUAAACCAAUUAUCAAAAUUACACCGCCACACCCGUUGAACAACAUUCCACGGUCAUUGGACCCUUGUGCCCCACAGUCGUCAUCGUUGCCUUACAAGCAACGUCCACCCGUCAACCCCAAUGCCACGCUCAUGGCUUAUCCGGUGACCACACCCUUGAUCAAAUAUGUAACCCUUGCAGCAACAGUUGCCUUUGCCAUAACCAUGUCCGUGUGGAAUGUUUUAUAGACUUUUGAACCAAAC
rnacentral:lncRNA from 1 species